rnacentral:misc_RNA from 1 species
GCACAAUCAUGACAUUGUCAUCCUGGGCCACUUCCAGCGUUGAGGAGGUUGCUUCAACAGGACCUGGCAUCCGUUUCUUCCAGCUUUAUGUCUACAAGGACAGAAAUGUUGUUGCUCAACUUGUGAGGAGAGCUGAAAAGGCAGGUUUCAAGGCUAUAGCCCUCACAGUUGAUACCCCAAGGCUCGGACGUAGAGAAGCUGAUAUUAAG